rnacentral:rRNA from 1 species
CUCCCGACAAACAAGGAAGAAGGCGGUGGUGGCGGCGGUUCCUUCUGGCCACAAGGAAAAAAGGGAGGAUGCUGGGAUGGAGUUACUUCUCGACGCCGUCGACAGGUUCCCACUGCUGUAGGAGUUCGCGGACAGCGUUGAGCAGCCAGAUGUGGCUCCUCUGGUGUUGAUGUGGCCAAGCGAGGCCGCCUGCGGUGGGACUGUGAACUCAAAGGGUGCUUCUGGAUGCAGCCAGCAGGUCAGCGAUGACGAGCUAAUCGGGAGGCAUGGUGGAGCUCGCUGCCGUGCGGAUGCAUCUCCGACUAGGUCGGCGCAGUCCACUGACAGAGUGAAUCCGGAAGUUCCUGGAUGGACAAAAAGAUUAUGGCUAAGGAGUGCGCCACCAGACAGGACACCAUGUCUGUCACGGAUGAGCGCGCUCGAGGAGUCGAUCCGCAAGUUUGGCGAGUACUGAGUUCAGAUUGUGUAUGAGCUUAUGGGUUUUAAAAUAUGACUGACUUACUUUCUGCAAUUCUUGGGAGAUUAGAUUCAGAAUAAGGUACGGUAAGAGCUGGCUAAACGUCGAGAGGACAAGGUGUCAAAGUGAAUGCAAGAAAUCGUCUGCGGCUGCUCGGGGAAACCAGAGGCGGAGAAUAGUAGGUCAUGCCGAUGUAAGUGUGCUGCAUUGAUAAGGCUGCUGCGUGUGUUCGACAACAAUUGGUACAUAACAGAGAAAGCAGAUGGCCCAUGACAAAAUAUAACAAAGGCUAUCUGGAAACAAUCUUUUUCAAGCUGGCUGGAAUUCUCGUUGAUGUCGCGCAAAAGGAACUCUUUUGCUGCACGCAAGUUGUGAACCCCCGUCUUGUUCAUUUCAACUGUACCCUUUAUGAACUGAAUUGCUUCAGGGUUUAUGUUGGCAUCUCUGCCUUUGAUUUUGUGACGACCGCAAGGGAUCCCAAAGACUUUGCACUCAUCCUCAACCCAGAACUUGAGGACCUUGCUGUCUGUUAGCACUAUCUCUCUUGGACUGACACUUACUCUGCUCAUUAUCCAAGAGAAGGUAAUAACACCGA